UCCAGUUCCCCAUUUCCCCCAAACCCAAUGCUGCCAAUCAAGCACUAAUUGGUGUUAAUGAUCAGCCUGUGCUGACUGCUUUUCUGGGUUGGCUGCUUUGGGAGUUGGUAGUGAGAGUUUCAGUGAUGGAGUUCUAUGAUCAAACUGUGCUGCUAUGGGAUGUGGCAUUGCUGUGGUCUCACUGUGCAAAUCAGAGCCUUUGGUGAAGAAUCUUGGCAAUUGUGUCACUUCUGGAAAAUGCGCUGUCAUCCCAGUGUCCUCCUGAGCAUCCUCAUCCCUUCAGAGGUGAGAAAAUUGCUGUACAGGUUUGGUCUGAUGGAAAAGAAGCUGUGUGUACUGCAGCAUCUCAGCACUGCUCACGUGGCAGCGAGGAGGAUUACGUACCUGGCGAUGAGUGCCAAGAUCUCUUUCAGGAAACCUGUGAUGGGACACUGCAGAACUGCCCAUGUGUUUCUCAGUGAUGUGUGCAGACCGUGAAGCUGGGACUUGAUUUCAGGCUCCGGGUCUGCUCCUGCUGUAUGGGGACAACUUAAUUUGUUCUCUGGGCUUUUAAUGAAUGCUAAUAAUGCUGCAGCCUACCCAUGAGUAAUUCUGUACAUCAGUUUCUGCUGCCCUAGGAAUAAAUCAGAAUUGUGUUAUUUCCUUGAA